UACAGAGGGUGCUAGCGUUGUUCGGAAUCAUUGGGCGUAAAGGGCGUGUAGGCGGUUUGCUAAGUCAUGUGUGAAAUCCCUCGGCUUAACCGGGGAACGACGCAUGAAACUGGCAAGCUAGAGUACCAAAGAGGGGGGUGGAAUUCCCGGUGUAGCGGUGAAAUGCGUAGAUAUCAGGAGGAACACCGGUGGCGAAGGCGGGUCUCUGGGCCGUAACUGACGCUGAGGAGCGAAAGCGUGGGGAGCGAACAGG
rnacentral:rRNA from 1 species